rnacentral:rRNA from 1 species
CCUACGGGUGGCAGCAGUGGGGAAUAUUGCACAAUGGGGGAAAGCCUGAAGCAGCGACGCCGCGUGAGUGAAGAAGGAACUCGGGAUGGAAAGCUCUAUCAGCAGGGAAGAAAAUGACGGUACCUGAGUAAGAAGCCCCGGCUAACUACGUGCCAGCAGCCGCGGUAAUACGUAGGGGGCCAGCGUUAUCCGGAUUUACUGGGUGUAAAGGGAGCGUAGACGGGAGUGCAAGUCUGGAGUGAAAGGCGGGGGCUCAACCCCCGGACUGCUCUUGAUACUGUACGGCUGGAGUGCAGGAGAGGUAAGUGGAAUUCCUAGUGUAGCGGUGAAAUGCGUAGAUAUCAGGAGGAACCCCAGUGGCGAAGGCGGCUUACUGGACUGUAACUGACGUUGAGGCUCGAAAGCGUGGGGAGCAAACAGGAUUAGAUACCCUAGUAGUC